rnacentral:pre_miRNA from 1 species
CCCUUCGCCCUCAGAGUCCCGCUAUCACAAUAGUUUAGUUGCCGCAUAUAAUGGAAGAUGCCGCUCUAAACUGUUGUAAUACCGGGCGGAGGAGUUGGGA